rnacentral:rRNA from 1 species
GAUGAACGCUGGCGGCGUGCCUAAUACAUGCAAGUCGAGCGAACAGACGAGGAGCUUGCUCCUCUGACGUUAGCGGCGGACGGGUGAGUAACACGUGGAUAACCUACCUAUAAGACUGGGAUAACUUCGGGAAACCGGAGCUAAUACCGGAUAAUAUAUUGAACCGCAUGGUUCAAUAGUGAAAGACGGUUUUGCUGUCACUUAUAGAUGGAUCCGCGCCGCAUUAGCUAGUUGGUAAGGUAACGGCUUACCAAGGCAACGAUGCGUAGCCGACCUGAGAGGGUGAUCGGCCACACUGGAACUGAGACACGGUCCAGACUCCUACGGGAGGCAGCAGUAGGGAAUCUUCCGCAAUGGGCGAAAGCUUGACGGAGCAACGCCGCGUGAGUGAUGAAGGUCUUCGGAUCGUAAAACGCUGUUAUUAGGGAAGAACAAAUGUGUAAGUAACGAUGCACGUCUUGACGGUACCGAAUCAGAAAGCCACGGCUAACUACGU